rnacentral:rRNA from 1 species
AUUGAACGCUGGCGGUAUGCUUAACACAUGCAAGUCGAACGAUAACAGUGAACUUCGGUUCAGCUGAUAAGUGGCGGACGGGUGAGUAAUACAUGGGAAUCUAUCUUUAAGCGGGGGACAACCUGGGGAAACUCAGGCUAAUACCGCAUGUGGCCUACGGGUUAAAGCAGGGGACUAUUUAUAGCCUUGUACUUAGAGGUGAGCCCAUGUCAGAUUAGCUAGUUGGUGGGUAAAGGCCUACCAAGGCUACGAUCUGUAACUGGUCUGAGAGGAUGAGCAGUCACACUGGGACUGAGACACGGCCCAGACUCCUACGGGAGGCAGCAGUGGGGAAUAUUGGACAAUGGGCGCAAGCCUGAUCCAGCAAUACCGCGUGUGUGAAGAAGGCCUUCGGGUUGUAAAGCACUUUCAGUUGGGAAGAAGUUUUAUGCGCUAAUAUCGUAUAGGAUUGACGUAACCAACAGAAGAAGCACCGGCUAACUCUGUG